AGUGCCGGGGAGGGUUCUGCUGCUUCGAAAGCUCCUCUACCCUUCUCCAAAAGAAGAGCGAAGAGAAGAUCCUUUUCUACUAAUAUCAGAGCCAUGGCUCAGGAGUCAGUGAUGUUCAGUGAUGUGUCCGUAGACUUCUCUCAGGAGGAGUGGGAAUGCCUGAAUGAUGAUCAGAGAGAUUUAUACAGAGAUGUGAUGUUGGAGAAUUACAGCAACCUGGUUUCAAUGGGUAAGGACAUCUGUCCAUAGUAAUUUAGAUUCUGCCCUUGGAAGGCCUACUUCCUCCAAUGUGAAAUGCUCACCUGGCUUUCAAAAACCAGUCGAAUUUUGACAUCCUGUUCCACAGGAAUGUUCUGAAUAUGGUAGAGUUAGAAAAAGGAAGCUGCAUUGAGUUUUUGGGGAUGUUUUACAUCUUCCGUUAUGUUUCAUAAGUCCAUUGUACCUCUCUUUGACUCUUCUCAUAAUGCCAUGUCUUUCUUUAUAAUGAAGGGACUGGAUUUGAAUUCUAGGAUAUUCUCAUGAUAAAUUUGUUUUGUUACUUCUUUUGUAAGCAGGGCAUUCUAUUUCUAA
rnacentral:sRNA from 1 species